GGACGAUUAGCUCAGUUGGUAGAGCAGUGGACUCUUAAUCCAUUGGUCCAGGGUUCGAGUCCCUGAUCGUCCACCA
rnacentral:tRNA from 2 species